rnacentral:SRP_RNA from 1 species
GUUCGGGUCCUGUGCACCGACCGGUUCCGAACCUCGUCAGGCCCGGAAGGGAAGCGAUAAGGCAUCUUGGUCGGGUGCCGCAGACAAGCCGGAGCCC